AGCUGGAGUUUGAAGGAAAGCUUUGAGCUCUACAUAUGCUACCGUCAAGGGACAGGCAGAGGCAACAGUGCGAAUGUGAAAGUGGUUUGUGACUUUACCCCAUUGCUCAAACCCAUUUUUAAAAACCAGUAACUGUCAUUUUUAAAUAGAAUUUUCCUAUAGAAAAGGCUUAUUAACAGAGAGGCUAUUGAAAUUUUCCCCCGUCCUUCUCAGAUAUACAGGCCAAGGAGAUAAAAAUUGAAGAUUUUUUGCUUCCUUGGCAUAGAGCCUACAAGGAAUUCUUCUGGAAAACUAGCUUUGCAGAUUCCACUCGAUAGCACUGUGGCAUGAGUUGUUGGGUUGUGAAGACAGAUUUCAGGGAAAGAGCCAUGACAUUUUUUUGUAAUAGAUAUAAUAUUUUGAAGAGGAAGAGAAAAGGACUUAAGUUUUCCCCAUAUACCUGGCAACCUGGCACUAUGCUAGGCCCUUUAUCUCACUUAAUCUUUUCUACAACCAUAUGAAGUACCUGUUCACACAUUCAUUAUGCUAAUGAGGAAAUGGUGCUUCAGGAAGGUGUGGAAUUUUCCCAAACUUAUACAAUUUAUAAAUGUGUUUGAUUCCAAAGCCGUGCUGCUUCUACUACAUUGUAUUGCCAAACCUUUUGAAAGAGAAUAUGAGCCUUACCGUACUUCACUUCAAGAGAAACAGAUUAGUAUUUAGUAUCUGAUAUUAGAGCCACAGCAGGUUCAUUAUCAAGCAAUGUGAUAAGAGAGGUGGGUGUUCCAUGAAGGAAAGAGAAGGAAUAGGAGCAGUAUGAACUUGGGCUGAUACUGGAGGAAAACUAGCAGUGUCUACAGAGAGAUGUUUCUCCACUAGAUCAGAGCUGAGCUUGAUGAGGUGGGAAAGUGGAAAGGUGCAGGCAAGACUGCUGUCAAAGGAGCAGUCAGAACUGAAAGGACACGUGGAGCAGAGGUUGCCAUUGGAAGGGGUGCAGCUCCGGGAGUGAGCCCCUCUCAGAAGGAUGUGGCUGGAGCAACAGGGCCCCCGUGCCAGUUGGAGACGGCGGUUUCUCUGCACCUGUCAGAGGUGAUCCCACCUCUCCCACCCACAUCCACCUGCGGAUGCCUACUAGAGAUCAAGGAAGGCGGUUCAGGAAGCUCUCCGAAGCUCUCAGGGGCCUCAGCGCUUGGACAAGCUUUCAAGGCUGCUGCCAUUCCCAGAUGGGUCCUUUGUGAAACCCGCCCAGUCUGGGAGGUCACCUGAGGUCACCGUGUGGAAAGCCUGAAGGAGUAGAUUUUUCCCACCUAAAAUUUAAAGAGCGUUUAUGCUUACACUGUCCCUGUCCCACUUGGACAAGUAUUUACAAAUAAACUGAUUGGUUUUGUUUUGGUUUGCUUUCUUCAGCACCAAAGGAAAGUCCCCUCUCCAACUGGAUAUAAAUAGGAUGUCCUGCCCACCUCUCAUUCCUAUUCCUGGAGAAUCGACAAUUUUGAGCUCCAUUUAAAGAUCCACUUGAGCAGGGUGGGCUAAAGCCAGUCUCAGAAAUUCCCUGAGAGAGACAUCAAGGAAAGCCUCUCUGCUGGCUCAUCCCCCUCCGCAUGAUUGACUCUCCUUAACCAUCUGCCUUUUCCUCGCCCCUCUGACUCUGAUGGAGAAGCUCACCACCAGACAGAGGCUGGUUCUUCUUCUGACUGUCCCUUGAUCCCCCUCCAAGUCCUGCACUGAGGAACGUCUCAGGGAAGGAAAACCAGACGUGGUGUCAUAUAAGAAACCCAGCACUGGAGUUCCUGUCAUGGCUCGGUGGUUAACAAAGCUGACUAGCAUCCAGGAGGGUUCAAACCCUGGCCUCAUUCAGUGGGUUAAGGAUCUGGCGUUGCUGUGAGCUAUGGUGUAGGUCACAGACGUAGUUCGGAUCCCACAUCGCUGUGGCUGUGAUGUAGGCUGGUGGCUGCAGUGCCAACUGGACCUCUAGCCUGGGAACCUCCAUAUUCCUUUGGUGUGGCCCUAAAAAAAAGACACACACACACACACACACACACACACACACACACGAAACCCAGCUCCCACUGUGGCCUCUGACCAGGGCCCACUUCUCUGGUUGCCACGUGUCAGUCAUGGUUGCUUUGUUCUUCUCUUUGUGUGUGGGUUUUUGUUUUGUUUUUUUGUCUUUUUGCCUUAAGCCGCUCCCACGGCAUAUGGAAGUUCCCAGGCUAGGGGUCUAAUUGGAGCUGUAGCUGCCAACCUACGCCAGAGCCACAGCAACGCGGGAUCGUUAACCCACUGAGCGAGGGGAGAGAUUGAACCCGCAACCUCAUGGUUCCUAGUCGGCUUUGCUAACCACUGUGCCACGACAGGAACUCCUGUGUGUGUUUUUUUAAAGUUAUAAUGAAGUACAGUUGAUUUGCAAAGCUGUGAUAAUUUCUGCUGUACAAAAAGUGAUUCAGUUAUACAUGUACACACAUUCAUUCUCUUUCAGGGUCUUUUCCAUAGAUUAUCACAGAAUGUUGGGCAGAGUUCUCUGUGCUACACAGCAAGUCCCUUUAGGCCAAUCAUUCCAUACCUCUCAGUGCACAUAUGCCAAUCCCAAACCCCCAGUCCAUUCCUCCCUCCCACCUGUCCCCUCUGAGACAAAGCCUUAUGGUUUCUAUUCUGCAAAUAAGUUCAUUUAUCUUUUUUUAAGGUUCCACAUAUAAGUGAUAUCAUAUGAUGUUUGUCUUUCACUGUCUAACUUCACUUAGUAUGAUGGUUUCUAGGUGUAUCCAUGUUGCUGCAAAUAGCAGUAUUUCAUUCUUUUCUAUGGCUGAGUAAUAUUCCAUAGUAUAUGUGUAUCACAUCUUCUUUAUUUAUUCCUCUGUCAGUGGACACAUCUUGGCUAUUGNGUAGUGCUGCAGUGAACAUCGGGGUGCAUAUAUCUGUUUGAAUUAUGG
rnacentral:lncRNA from 1 species